rnacentral:rRNA from 1 species
GACGAACGCUGGCGGCGUGCUUAACACAUGCAAGUCGAACGGAAAGGCCCUGCUUUUGUGGGGUGCUCGAGUGGCGAACGGGUGAGUAACACGUGAGUAACCUGCCCUUGACUUUGGGAUAACUUCAGGAAACUGGGGCUAAUACCGGAUAGGAGCUCCUGCUGCAUGGUGGGGGUUGGAAAGUUUCGGCGGUUGGGGAUGGACUCGCGGCUUAUCAGCUUGUUGGUGGGGUAGUGGCUUACCAGGCAUUUGACGGGUAGCCGGCCUGAGAGGGUGACCGGCCACAUUGGGACUGAGGUACGGCCCAGACUCCUACGGGAGGCAGCAGUGGGGAAUAUUGCACAAUGGGCGGAAGCCUGAUGCAGCAACGCCGCGUGCGGGAUGACGGCCUUCGGGUUGUAAACCGCUUUCGCCUGUGACGAAGCGUGAGUGACGGUAAUGGGUAAAGAAGCACCGGCUAACUACGUG